rnacentral:lncRNA from 1 species
UCACCCCCUCUGCUACAAACACUAAGAAGAAUAAUAAACACAAAUAUAAGCAAAAGAUUAGGGACUUACUCUGCGUCAGACCUCCUGCAAACGAAUUCUGGAAAACUGCCUCCAUUUCCUAUAACGGGAAGAAAAAUAAGAGUGUGAUUCAGUUCAUAGAAAACAGAUUGGACGACAUUAAGGAAUCCCUUAAUUUGAAUGAAGAAGACGCAGGUGUUGCCGCUGAUGAAAGUGUUGUUUUUCAAAUGUCAAGAAAUAAGGUUAGACCUGUCAUAGGUUCUUCCAUCCUUUUAGCGGAGACUCCCCAAGAAAGGUCAGAGGAAGUAGGCAUUGUUGACAUCAAUGGGAACUUGUCAGAGUUGAAUUCUGAG